rnacentral:rRNA from 1 species
UACGUAGGUGGCGAGCGUUGUCCGGAAUUAAUGGGUGUAAAGGGCGUGUAGGCGGGAAUGUAAGUCAGAUGUGAAAUUCCACGGCUCAACUGGGGCGCUGCAUCAUAAACUAUGGUUCUUGAGUGCUGGAGAGGGAAGCGGAAUUCCAAGUGUAGCGGUGAAAUGCGUAGAUAUUUGGAGGAACACCAGUGGCGAAGAUGGCUUUCUGGACAGUAACUGAAACUGAGGCGCCAAAUCGUGGGUAGCAAACAGG